AUUGAACGCUGGCGGCAGGCCUAACACAUGCAAGUCGAGCGAGCGGCGGACGGGUGAGUAAGGUCUGGGAAACUGCCUGAGGGAGGGGGAGAACGACGGGAAACGGUAGCUAAUACCGCAUACAAUCAGAGGUGCCCAGAUGGGAGUAGCUAGAAGGUGGGGUAACGGCGCACCUAGGAGACGAUCCCUAGCUGGUCUGAGAGGAUGACCCGCCACACUGGAACUGAGACACGGUCCAGACUCCUACGGGAGGCAGCAGUGGGGAAUAUUGCACAAUGGGCGCAAGCCUGAUGCAGCCAUGCCGCGUGUGUGAAGAAGGCCUUCGGGUUGUAAAGCACUUUCAGCGGGGAGGCGUUACCCGCAGAAGAAGCACCGGCUAACUCCGUGCCAGCAGCCGCGGUAAUAC
rnacentral:rRNA from 1 species